rnacentral:piRNA from 1 species
UUAUGAAGUUGCAAACUGAGACCCAGCAGU